AACUGCAUCAUACGAACAGGUCGCCUGUCCCGAAGGGCAGGAGUGAAAUGGAAAGUCCGGUGCAAAACCGGCGCGGUCCCGCCACUGUAAGGGUGUGAUGAGGCUCUUCCAUGUCACUGGCAGCAGGCUGCCGGGAAGACAGCGCUUCAGAUGACCCCGAGCCAGGAGACCUGCCUCUUCGUGCUUACCGGC
rnacentral:ncRNA from 2 species